ACAAACUAUAUUAAACGUCAUAUGAUUGCCACAUAUUGCUCGGACUCUUCCUUGAGUGGAAGAUGUACUGCUAGCAUAUAUACAAAUUGCAGUGGAUCAAUUGUAAGCGGUGUUACAAAGGGUAUGAAUGAUGUAACUGGACAAUUUUCUUGUUAAACUUUGAAGGAUGUCCUUAUUUCAGAUUCUGAAAUAUUACACAAACUACAUGUAUUAACUACCAUAUGAUUGGCAAAAUAUAACUGGUUUCUUCCUCAGUGAAAGAAUUUCCGAUAGCACAUAUACAAAUAGUAGUGAAGAAAUUGCAAAUGGAGCGACAAAAGUUUAACUUGAAAAACUGGUCGUUCUACAACUGUUCAACUGUGUCAACUUUUCUUUGGCUUGAACUCUUAUUAUGAAUACCAAAAUCCUUAUAUUGUUGUGCAUUCAACAAAAUUGAAGAUGAUUUUUUAAAACAGUAGGACAACCUCGAGUAAUGCUGCUUUUCAGAUAAGAAUCGGUUAUAGCUGUAAAAGUUACUGAAACGACUUAAUAAGUGUAAUAAAAUUAUUUUGAAAUAUUGUACAGUCUCAGUGGCACCAUAACUUUUCUUGAAGGAAGAAAUCCAACAAUUCUAUUAAUUUUGAAUAUUAAAGAAUUUCCUAAUGCUGUCAAAGUACUUUAUUAUGUUUUAAACAUUUAGAGCUUGAACUUCUACGUUAAGUUAUAUUGAAACAGAAGUGAAGGUUAACUAAAUUUAUAUUUACUCAAAAGCAACAUAGAAAUAGGAACUUUGAACAAAUUGGA